rnacentral:lncRNA from 1 species
CUCUGCCUGGCCUGGUGACAGCAAAGGAUCGCCAUGUCCUCAUGGUAUGAGUCCUCGGAGAGGAAGCUCCCCAGAAGGGGAAGUGGUUCUUACAGGUGCCGGGCAUCUGGGCUUGAUUCAAAUCAGGACAGAGUGACGGGUGUGACUGGACGGGCCCCUGUGUCAUCAGGGGCUAACCCCAGGCUCAGAACCCAGUGGUGUAACUUUGAAUCACGCUAGAACUCUUGUGUUGCUGGAGAAAGCUGGGUCCAUCCGCCCCGCAGCCACCUGCAUGGACGCCCUCCCAGCGCGGGGAGCAAAUGCAGAAACAGAGGAGCGGCUCCCUCCUUUGACAGAGCCCUGCGUUCCGGUGGUUAUUCCAGAGACGAAACAAGGAAACCUCCUAGACAAGGGAUCAUUUAAACAUUGCUUGAAUCCAAACUCAGAGAUUUCAUCAACGCCUGAGCCUCAUGUGCCAACAUCACCAGGGCGUCCCUCAUCCCCGCCCGGGAGCAGGCAGAUGUCCUACAAGUUCCUGCAGAGGCUGCUCUCCGGCCCUGUGUGUGCCCGCCGGGCAGCAGGGCCAUGCUGACUAAUCACCCAUGGGAAGGCUUCGAGGGACGAGAAAGCAAUGCAUCAGCCACUAUUUCACUGGGACCUUUAGAGCAAGAACCAGCAGAAACCAGGUGAUGAACGAGCUGGGAAAACAUAAGGAAAACACCAGAUGAGUCCAAGAGGAAUUCGCUUCCUGGAGAAAAGCUCAACCUGUUGGGCCCAAGGUGCUGAAAAGAGUGUCUCCUUGCCAGGGGUCCCCAUGCCACAGCCACCUUGGCGUCUCCCUCUGCAACCUGAGAGCAGCUACCAGAUGUUUGUUAGGGUGGGAAACACUGAGUCCCUGAUGAAGGCCCAGCUUGAGCCAUCUUGGUGUGGAAGUCACUGGGCCAGAGUUUUCUAGAACUUGAGACCUUGAAGGGCACCCCACUCUACCUCUCCUUUCGAAGGAUCCUACUCUCCGAGGCUGCAGAGCCAUGCAGGCAUCUAACCAGAACUCCCAGCUGCAUGGAACGUUUGAAUCUGUUUUGCAAUCGUCACCAAGCGCCACGCUGCGUCC